ensembl:lncRNA
GGCCUGUACAAGAUUCUACUCUAUUAUGCAUAUUUUAACGGACUUUGAUCCCAGGUGCUUAAAGCCGCGGUUGGCGAUAGGAUUUAGGUUUGGGUUUCGCAUCGGGUUAGAACAGGUUCUCAAAAGGUUCUAUUUUGCAACGCUUUGUAAAUAAAAGUUCAUUUAUGAACAACUGUUUGUUUGAAUAUUUAAACCAGGGGUCUUCGGUCGUAACUGCAAAGGGCCGGUGGGGCUGCAGGAUUUCAUUAGAGCCAAACUGGAGGCAGGAUUGAUGGGUGAUUGACGGUGAACUGAUUGAAAAAGUGAAAUCAGGUGUGGCUCAUGCUGCAAUUUGGGGUUAUGGUUCAUGUUAAAGGUUUGGGGUUAAAGCUAGGGUUAAAGAUAAGGUUAGUUCUAACGUUAAAUCUUUGGGGUUAGAGCUAGUAUUAAAUGAUUAGGGUUAGGGCUAGGGUUAAAGUUUUGGGGUUAGAGCUAGGGUUAAACGGUUGUGGUUAUGGCUAGGGUUGAAGGUUUGGGGAUAGGGUUGGGGUUAGGGCUAAGGUUAAAGGUUUGGGCUAGGGUUAGAUGUUUGAGGUUAUGGCUAGGGUUAAAGAUUUGGGGUUUGGGCUAGGGUUUGAUGUUUGAGGUUAUGGCUAGGGUUAAAGAUUUGGGUUUAGGGUUAGGGCUAGGGUUGAAGGUUUGGGGAUAGUGUUAGAUGUAUGCGGUUAUGGCUAGGGUUAAAGAUUUGGGUUUAGGGCUAGGGCUAGGGUUGAAGGUUUGGGGUUAGAGCUGGGGUUAAAGGAUUGGGUUAGUCGUAGGGUUACAGGGUUGAGGGUAGGGCUAGGAGUAAAGGUUUAGAAUGAGGGCUAGAGUUGAAGGGUUGACUUAAAGCUUUCGACUUAGGGCUAGGGGUAAGAGUUUGUCGUUGGGGCUAGGGUUAAAUAUCUGGGGUUAGGGUUAAAGGGUUGAGGGUCGGGCAAAGGUUGAAGUUUUAGGUCUAGGGCUGAAAACUUGCACCAGCAGUAAAGCUUACAGAAACAGACUUGAGCAUGCUCAGUUUUCUCCUUAUUCUCCGAAUACAAUCUAUCUUUGUUUAUCUGAAGCAGGACGCCAUCCUUACAAAUGAAAACGAGUGUUUGCUUUGUGCGUGACGCUUAUUGCUUUUUAAUAUGGAGAACGUGCAUUAAAAAUACAUGCCAUUUUUCCUACACGCCGAAUAACAGCAGCGCAGGUCUCGUACCCCGGCACAACGAAGCCAAUAACGCAAACAAACUGAGCAUCGAGACGGAUUUAAUUACCGCGAAUGUGAAGAUGAAAGCAUGGCGCUGAAUAAAUAAACGCAACGUUUCCGAUAGGAAGAAAGAAUGCAGUAUAUACAGCAGACGGGCGGAAAGAUUAAUGACGGUUCUAAUACGCCGCGUAUCCCCCAAAACAAUAUAACCAGAGAAAAAACACACACGAUAAGAGUGUAUAUGAGAAAUAUCACCUUAAACAGUUUUUGCUCGUGCGUUAAGACUUUUGGACGCUACAGGAAGUGAAACGAUGAUUUCAGGUCUCUUUACUUUGUUACUACGUUUGUUAAUGUAUUAUUCGGAACUGAAAUUGUGUCUCUUUUUUUGUUUGUUUGUUUUUUUUUGUUCGUACACUCGUUCUGUCUGGAUUUUGUUUCAAUCAGGUUUCAGAGGUUCCCAUGUGCUUUUUAGGGAGGCGUGUAUUUAGACGUGUUUUAAACUAAAAACAGUGGAAGAUCAUCAGACGGGAGAGGUUUUCCUCCUUGUCUGCGUGUAUAUAUGUGUAUUAACUGCUUGAAGCUGAACAAAUUAGGCAACAUUGGAUUUUUUUCUUUUGCAUGUGUCUUUUUCUAAUGGACGAGACGAUUACG